AAAUGAAAAGAGGCUUGCUCAUGACUUGGAAGCGGUGGGCUGAGGCCUCCCAAGACCAUCUGGCUUGUUCCAUUGCCAGCCAGAGUGGAGGCGACAUUCACACGAACCCAGGAGCUGCAGGGGCGCGUGAGCUACAGCUGCCUUGUGGCAUCCAAGGAGUGCGCAACUAGUCUCACUCUGUUGCCCAGGCUGGAGUGCAGUGGCGCGAUCUCAGCUUACUUCAGCCUCCGCCUCCCGGUUUCAAGUGAAUUCUCCAGCCUCAACUUCACAAGUAGCUGGGAUUACAGGGCAUUCAAGCAGCCCUGAGGAGAGGUCCACAUGGUGAGCCACUGAGGGCCUUGCCAAGAGCCAGCACCAACGGUCCAGGUUUGGAGUGUACCACCUUGGAAGUGAAUCUUCCAGUCCAGUCAAGCCUUCAGAUGACUUCAGAACCGUCCAUGUAAGCCACUCUUGGAUUCCUGACCCACAGAAACUGUUGGAGGCAUUAUCAACAGUUUCUAACAUCACAGACAGACAAACAUGUGCCUCCUGAUUGAAAAAACAGAACAUCACCUGUAGUCUUGCCAGUGAGAUCAAACUGAAGUCCAAUUAACCUCUGGAUCCAGCUGCCAAUUUGCAGGAAAUAGAGGAGAGAAGCAUCUGUUGAACUGCACCAUGAGUAUACACUCAGCAAAGGCCAAACUGUGGAAAAUGAUACAGGUCAAACAGCCUGGAUUCUUUAACAGUAAGUGAUGUUUCUGAAGCACCAAUGAAAAUGAAGUCCUGAAGUCCUGUGCUCAAUAUGAAAUGUUGGAAGUUAGAAGAAAAAAACAAAACUUGGAUCCAAUCUCAAGGCACUUUUUGUUUAAUGGGAAGAAGUGGAUUAUUUUAAAAGCUACAAAUAAAGUUACAUAAAAGUAGCAAA
rnacentral:lncRNA from 10 species